CCGCUGGUUAUAAUAAACUCAGAGUGGCCAUCAGCCCUCUCUGUAUCUAUCCUGACGUGUACAUUGGAUUGCGACACCGACAAAAGGGACUUUGCUGUUAUGAUUAAGCUAAGGAUCUUGAGGUAGAAAGAUUAUCCUGGAUGAACCAAGUGGGCCCAAUAUAAUCAUGUGUCCUUGUAAGAGGGAAGCGAGAGGGACAAAGGUGGAAGAAGGAGGCAGACAACGGGAGCAGAGGAUGGAAGAUGCUCUUUGAAGAUGGAGUAAGGCGUUAUGAGCCAACAAAUGUGGGAGACCACCAGAAGCUGGAAAUUACAAGGAAACAGAUUUUCCCCUGAAGCCUCCAGAAGGAACACAGGCCUGACAACACCUUGAUUGUAGACUUCUGACCUCUAAAACUAUGUGGCUUGGCAGGUGGAAGUUCAAUAGCAGCCAUGAUUCUGGAUGGACCUGGGGACAGUCACAGUGCUGUUCAUCUGCAGAGGCGUCCAGCGGAUCCUGCUCUCUGAUAGCUUGUGUUCCCAGCUGAGGGCUGAGCUGAACACAGCUGCUGCAGGCCCACGAACAGCUGCUUGGCAAUGGUUUCACAGAGGUGGCAGCUUCUUGUAGGCAUCUCCAUGGCACCCCCUGCACCUACUUCAUCAUCUGAGUAUACUUAACUUCUGCAUUUACCUUCAAGCUCUGACUUUUCCAUUCUUGCCAGUGUUUUUGACAGCUGAACUGCUUAGUGACUCUGGGUUUGAUCCCCUCGCCCUGUUCCAGACUUCCGUUUCACCAGCUUCUCCCACAUUUCUGUGGGAUCUAAGAUCUAUCAUGAAUCUCUUAUUCCCCAAAUACUCAGAGUGGCUCUGCUUCCCUGACUUAACCCUGACUGAUGCAUUCCUAUUGUUUCAGAGCUGUGAUCUCUAAUUUCAACCUCCUCAGAUGAGACAUUUCCAGCCUCAUUCUGACAUAGAGUAUAUCCACUAAAAUGAUGAUGAUGAUAAUACUAAGAACAAUACUAAUGAUAGCUAACCCUUACCCAAUACGUAGGAGGGGCCUGGCAUUAUUGUAAAUGAUUUACUGCUAAAUGCUCAGAUGUUUCUCAGCCUCUUUAAUACUGCUUCCUUUCUCUCUCAAAAGAAUAUCAGGUUCUUGAAUGUUAAAAAUAUUCUUCUUAAUCAUGAUGCCAUGUCGGCAUGAAAGGAUCACAGGGAAUCUAGGGGUGGAGUCAGAGCUAUGGUGUGGAUAACUAGGCUAAUCUGGAGUCUGUUUCAUGGAUGUAGAGACAAUGAUAAUCCCUAGUUAACUAUCAUUAUUGGUUCUUUCAGAUGUGAAGAACCAUUGCUAAAAAGGAUCAUGCACAUAUUUUUUGGCCCUGAAACGCCAUUGAUUGCAAUAAUAAGACAUACUGGGAAUUUGUCAUAUAUCAGAUACUUUACAAAGCUGUUUAUAUAUGUUAUCUCAUAGAAUACUGCCAGCAACUUCAAAAGGCAGGAACUGUCGUCCUCUUUAUACAGAUUUCCAACUCAAGUCCCAGCACUUACAUUCAUCUUGAAAACGUCAAUUCUCUAUCAGCAUGACCUCUCGCCAGAGCACUAAGAAUGGAGAGCUACUGCUAAACGGUAACUGAUAUUUUUCUGUAAUAGGACAUUGGUGGAAAAACGCAUUACUCAAGAUCAAGAAAAUUAAAAUGACUUCAAAUCCUAAGUGACCUGCAGUUGUAAAAUUGGACUGGAUUGCUUUUUGCAAACUUUAAGAGCAUAGCCCUGAUUCACUUCAAAAAUGCUCAGUUAAAACAUAUUUUGACUAACUGGAUGUUUUCUGCUCUUUCCUUGCACCUAUGAGAAAACCAGAUUGGCUUGCCUUUAGCUUGGCAAGAAGAAUACAUAAGAAAUAAUUUUUUCUUAGAGUUAUGAAAAGCAAAUCUCCAGUUAUAGAUGGAAAAGCACUAGGGAUGUAAUAUACAAUAGCUAACACUGCUGUAUAACAUACAGAAAAGUUGUUAAAUGAAUAAUUCUGAGUUCUCAUCACAAGGAGAAAUUUUUUUUCCCUUUUACCUUUUCUUCUUUCUUUUCUUUUUGUUGUAGCUAUUUGAGAAGAUGGAUAUUAGCUGAACCUACUGUGGUAAUCAUUUCACAAUAAAUGUAACUCAAACCAUCAUGCUAUAUGCCUUAAACUUAGACAGUGAUGUAUGUCAAUUAUUUUUCAAUAAAACUGGAAAAAAAAAGUUAAAAAGAUCAAAGAAGAAUGCCCAGAAAAUAAAACUUUUGUAAAUGUUCAGGCAGCAAGACGAAUAUACUACCUACCCAAGUUCAAAAUAGUUUUCCUAGUUCUUACCAUUGGGGCCAAAUUUCCAAGACCACAGAUUUUUGUUGCCAAUCACAAUUUCAACUUGGAAGGCGGUGGGCUUUCAAUUCGCCAGUUAUAUUAGUUUCUGCUGGGCACUCAGACUUUAAUAAGUCUCGUGAGUUUAUGUACAUAAUUUAUGACUUAAGCACUCAGAUCUGGAUGAGGGGAGAUAAACUCUACCUGAAGAAUUUAUUUGGGUAUUGUCCUGUGAACCUUAUAGGAGGAAGACAAAAAAACCUACAUUUGGGAUUUUAAGGUUCAGUGAGACAAUCUUUCUAUAAAUUAACUCUCCCGGACUUUGAGAUGCCAACAUUUCACCAUUGGAGCUUCACUCGGUCAUGAGAUGAGUAUGUCUCCUGUCUAAAUUUAAACACUCCUGAAGUGAAUAGCAUGUUAAAUACAUCAAUUCCUUUCUAAGCCUGUACAUCAAGAGUAGACUGUAAAAGAAUGAAGGACACUGGGCAGUACAGGGCCUCAGCGCUCCUGUGGACAGGCUAGCUCGAGUGACACGCUCGGGUCCACCAGGAGCAUUAGGGAGGUAUUUUGUACCUUUGGCCAGAAAUGAGGAAAAAAAAAACAAAAACAAAACAGUGAGCUGGUUACAGAAGAGGAAGGUGAUGGAAUCAGAGACUUAUUUCUCCUACAGGCCUCCUUGCUAUUUUCAGGUUGCAAAGCUGGUACUUGAAACAGAAUCGAUUUAUUCCUCAGUAAUACUCUGUUAUUGUGAGACAAUAAGUUGUUGAACCCAGUUGACAAUUGAAAAAUAAAUGACUCA
rnacentral:lncRNA from 1 species